GUGCUCGCUUCAGCAGCACAUAUACUAAAAUUGGCAAGACACAGAGAGAUUAACGUGGCCCCUGAACAAGGAUUACACACAAAUUCAUGAAGUAUUUCGUAUUUUU
ensembl:snRNA U6 U6 spliceosomal RNA